rnacentral:tRNA from 1 species
GGAGAGGUGGCCGAGCGGUUGAAGGCGCUCGCCUGGAAAGCGGGUAUACGGUAACGUAUCGUGAGUUCGAAUCUCAUCCUCUCCGCCA